rnacentral:rRNA from 1 species
GGGGGAAUCUUGCGCAAUGCGCGAAAGCGUGACGCAGCAACGCCGCGUGGGGGAAGACGGCCUUCGGGUUGUAAACCCCUUUCAGGAGGGACGAAGGUUCGCCGGUGAAUAGCCGUGCGGAUUGGCGGUACCUCCACAAGAAGCUCCGGCUAACUACGUGCCAGCAGCCGCGGUAAUACGUAGGGAGCAAGCGUUGUCCGGAAUCAUUGGGCGUAAAGCGCGCGUAGGUGGCUAUGUAAGUCCGUUGUGAAAGUCAAAGGCUCAACCUUUGAAAGCCGAUGGAUACUGCAUAGCUAGAGUACGGAAGAGGCGAGUGGAAUUCCUGGUGUAGCGGUGGAAUGCGCAGAUAUCAGGAGGAACACCAAUAGCGAAGGCAGCUCGCUGGGACGUUACUGACACUGAGGCGCGAAAGCGUGGGGAGCGAACAGGAUUAGAUACCCUGGUAGUCCACGCCGUAAACGAUGGGUACUAGGUGUGGGAGGUGUCGACUCCUCCCGUGCCGUCGCUAACGCACUAA